ACACUCCUGCGGCAGGCAGCAGUGGGGAAUUUUGGACAAUGGGCGAAAGCCUGAUCCAGCAAUGCCGCGUGAGUGAAGAAGGCCUUCGGGUUGUAAAGCUCUUUUGUCAGGGAAGAAACGGUGAGAGCUAAUAUCUUUUGCUAAUGACGGUACCUGAAGAAUAAGCACCGGCUAACUACGUGCCAGCAGCCGCGGUAAUACGUAGGGUGCAAGCGUUAAUCGGAAUUACUGGGCGUAAAGCGUGCGCAGGCGGUUUUGUAAGUCUGAUGUGAAAUCCCCGGGCUCAACCUGGGAAUUGCAUUGGAGACUGCAAGGCUAGAAUCUGGCAGAGGGGGGUAGAAUUCCACGUGUAGCAGUGAAAUGCGUAGAUAUGUGGAGGAACACCGAUGGCGAAGGCAGCCCCCUGGGUCAAGAUUGACGCUCAUGCACGAAAGCGUGGGGAGCAAACAGGAUUAGAUACCCCUGUAGUCCCAUG
rnacentral:rRNA from 1 species